rnacentral:lncRNA from 1 species
AUUGUCACUGCUGUGGCAUGGAUUCGAUCGCUGGCCCUGGAACUUUGUAUGCUAAAGGCGACACCAAAAACAAAACAAAAAAACAAAUGUAAGUUAUAUAAUAUGCGUGUAUUAUAGCAAAUAGGAAAUUUUAUGAUAGGAAACCAGAGAAGGGUGAGAUCCAACUCACUCUCUAGCAGGAACGAUACUACUUAGAUUGGAGUUCCUUGGGUUCCUUUAAUAAAGAAAGAUGUUAUUCUCUGCUGUGUCUUUGGAAUUGAAAUUGGAGAACACAGGCCAGUCAACUCGGGAAUGGCUGCUGGUCAUACGUAUGCAGUUUUAUAUGAGAAAUUUGGAACCCAGAUUAUUCUGAUGAAAGGUACAUAGGAGAGCCGCUGAAAGACCACGGCUUCUAAGGAGGCAGGAGCACCAUGUAAAUGCCCACAGCCACCCCCCAAGUUCUAAUCCUGCCUUCUGGAGUAAACACGAAGACUUUAAAUGGAAUCAUGCAAUGUAAAUUCUGUUUUUUCCAGUGACUUUGUCAGCUGCUACUUGUUUGUUUGCUUGUUUGUGUGUUUUAACCACCAGAACACUUGCAAACUUGUGACGUUCACUUAAGGAAGGAAUUCGAAAUGCUUGAAAAUAAAGAGUAGUAUCUGGUUGGGAACAGUGUGUGUGUUCUUUGCUGCAAGAUAAAUUUGUGAGAUUGCUGAAAACUAGCUGCUCACUUCGACGUGGGCAUCUACGCUGGCUAUGGCUUGAUUCUCAGGAUGCCACCAUUUCUCUGUGACUUCCUGGUCCUCCCAGCCAUGUUUUGCUCCUUGACCUUUAUGAGGAAUCAGGCCUCCCAUGUGUGAGGCCCAAGAUCCCAUCGUUUAAAAACCACCAGGCACAGGUCCUUCCUGCCUUUUCUCUACCCCUGCAGGUCUUCCUGGCUCACCUUCCUUGGUCUUUUUCCUGUUCCUGCUUCAUUUCCUCACUGGACAUUCUCCUUGUAUGACCACACCAGUAAAGGGGUAAUGAGAGGUAUGAUUGAAUGACCAUGUUCAUUUUUAUUUGCCUCCUUUGUGACUGUAAACAGUUUCUUCCUAAAUUUCAGCCUGGCCUGUGAUAAUCUCACCACACUGGAAUAAUUGCAAAUAAGAAUAAAAUGGGUCACUUCCCUAUUUCAUCUAGAAGGAAAGAUGAAGGAAGAUUGGCAGAAGCCCAGCCUGACUCUGUGGAGACACAACCCAAAAGCCUUAUGCACUCCACCUUGAUCCAACAGGCCUGGAGUGCCCUAGAAUACAGGCGAAAGUGUGUGUGUGUAGAGUGUGUGUGUGUGUGUGUGUGUGUGUGUGUGUAUCCUCAUGCUUUCUGCCGUGGUAUUAAAGACCUAAUGAAGGCAGCCAAAGAAUACCAAGUGGUGACAGUAGGUAUUUGGAAUGAGUAACUUCGGUUCUGUUUGCCUACAACUGAGUUAAAAUUGGAGUGGUUCUAGAUUGAAGGUGAGAAAAAGCAGUCAUUGCCUUAGACUCAUUUCCAUAGUAAGCAUGCUCUUCUCAUCCACAAGGAUGAAACUCAUGUAGGGUUUGACCUGAACUCUUGGCUCAAGUGUGGUAUUGGGAGGGCAGUAGUGACCAGAACACUACAGGGCUUGCAUGAUAUUACUUUGAAAGAGGGAACAUGCAGCGUCAUUUGUUAGGGGAUAGAAAAGGAAUAAAAGCCAAGGACCACACUCUCUCCCUGAAGAAGAGGUGAACUCCCUCUACUGCUAUAUUUUGAGUUCACAGAAUGAGGAGGUUGACCCAGCUGUAAGGGGUAUUGAGGUCCUCAGACCUCAGAAAACAAUAUGUGCAUGUAACCUCAAAGGCUGUGAACAUGAGAAAGGGAAAAAGACAUUUCCAGAGUCAAUCUUAAUGGUUUUUGCAAUACCUCUUAUUUGCAGAUUAUUGAAUUUAUGUUAUUGCACCCUUCGUGUGAUCUCUCUUAUGUAUCUGAUAGUUUUUAUGAAUAAUUUUUGAGUUGUAAACUCCUGUACACUUUAUUAAAAUGGAC